GAGGAGGUCGUGCGUGAUGUUGGUGGAGGUGGUCCCCUGGUGAUGAAGAUAGGUCGUAUUCACAGUGAAUGUGACAGUUAUGGACGGUGGGAUUAUUAGGAAUCGGGGACAGUGUAGGAUAACGAAGCACGGGGCCGAGGGCCGACCAGAGGGCCCCUGAGUCACAUGACUCACACUGACCAAUGGGGGCUGGAAGAGGGAAGCAAAGCAAAACCAACCAAAAAGAUGACCGGUCUGGCUGGCCCCGUGUCUCGAGGUCACAGGCGAGCGGCGGUGACAUCAGCGACAUGAUGAGCUCACUUCCUCCUCAGACCGACCACACCGCCGUGCGUCUGGAGAGAGGAAACACACUGUCUGUCUGUCUGUCUGUCUGUCUGUCUGUCUGUCUGUCUGUCUGUCUGUCUGUCUGUCUGUCUGUCUGUCUGUCUGUCUGUCUGUCUGUCUGUCUGUCUGUCUGCCUGUCUGUCUGCCUGUCUGUCUGUCUAGGGGAAUUUCUAUCAGCGAUGUUUGACUCUGUUUGCAUAUAAGUUCUGCUUCCUCUGUAUUUGUUAACAUUAAGGGUCCCAGAUGAAAUCAUGUGAUGUUGAGAAAUAGUUGUCUACAAUAGAGGUCAAGAGAGAUUCAAAUUAAAGGAAAUGAUGCAAAGUAUGAAGCCACAGAGAGAGAGAGGGAGAGAGAGAGAGAGAGAGAGAGAGAGAGAGAGAGAGAGAGAGAGAGAGAGAGAGAGAGAGAGAGAGAGAGAGAGAGAGAGAGAGAGAGAGAG
ensembl:lncRNA